rnacentral:tRNA from 1 species
AGUAAGGUCAGCUAAUCAAGCUAUCGGGCCCAUACCCCGAAAUGAUGGUUUAACCCCCUCCCCUACUA